GUCGUCUGCUUUUUAAAUUUCGAAAAAGUCAGAGACACAGUUAAAGAUUGAUUUGUUUUUGAUAACCGUCAUACUCCAUGCUAUUUUGCAGAUUUGAGGCCAAAGAGCAGCCAUCAUAACCACACAAUCUGCAAGUUUUUCUUGUGCAGGUGUUAACCUGUCAUCAUCAACAAUCUCAGGAUCAUCGCUUGGAUAAAAUGCAGCCCAUCGCAUUGGGAAAUUAUCUACCGAUGUCAAUGUCUUCGUGUACGGCUGUACGUCCAUGUGAAUGUGGGUUCGCGAGGACACCCUUUACCCUAUCCCGUCUGGUGGAAUUCAACUCUUCAUCGGAUGGAUGGAGCAACUGUAAAUGCCUGGCUGUAUUUCCCAGUCACAAAGGACGACGCUGCUGCAGUCGCUGCUGCUGGAUCGAUCUCAUUAUGUAGACCCGGUAACCCCCUCCGUUCCCCUCUUUCGGCAGUAAAUGAAAUACACCGAUUGGAAAAGCGGAUGGGCUCGCACGCGCGCUCCCGCCCGCCAAACGACUUUUCUCUGCUCAAAAUUUAAUGAGGUUUUUGCGGAUUCUGAUUGAAUGCCAGCAUUUCAAUGGAUCCUGCUGCUGCUGCAUUUUUGUUUACGUGGCGUUUGCCGUCAUCGAUGAUGGCCGCCGGAAGCUGAUUGAAAGCGAAAGAAAAUCCACGAAGAACAUUUGGAACUGUUUCGUAUUGUAUUUCCGUUGGAUAAUGUGUUAAAUACCGGCGUUCAUAGCGCCACGUGCCUAUUGUACAUGAAAGGCGACGUAAACAGUUUUGUCCGAGACCGAGGACGAGACUUAAGUCAAUUUGCAACUUGGACUGGCACAACAAAAUCACAGUGAAACUCCGUCUCCAGCAAGUGUGUGUCGCUAUUAACAUUAAUUCGGUUGACAACGAUUGAUACCACAUUAUCCGGACAGACAGCUAAAAAAGCUUGUUUAUUGAUUUGAAAGAAAAAAACCGCCGAGUACGCUUGCUAUAGCUAUUCACUUUCAUCAGUCGUCGCUAGAUGGAAGGUAGCACAUCUGGAGGGCGGAGUCAUGGCGGUCAUGGCGGAGUGCAAUGUGCAAGAAGAGCAGAUUUUCUGAUGGCUAUAAUUGGCUCAAAACAAUGGAAUGUGUACAUGGCUCAUUUUAUCGUCACUCUGGGAGGUGGACAUGUUACAAAAUUUUUCCAUAAGAAUGCAGUCAACUAUUAUCAAAUCAAUUACUAGAUGACCUUUUUAUAUCUUCCUUUUUACUCCUAUCAUCUGGGUUUAUUGUGACGAACUGACAGGUGGCUGGUGGAAGAAAGCAUUCAACAGUAGCUAUCCAAAAUAAGCAACUUGUGUGUAUUACGUUUCGGAUGGUUUCAAUUCGGACUAGCCCGGUGCAUCAGUGGGCCUUCUCCGACAAACCCAGAUUAAAUCGGAUGAGAUAUCUCGCGGUGACAGUAGAACAGGAUGCAUAUUCGGAAGUCAGCACAUCAAGACUCGGAAACGUUUGUCGGUUCUUCGUUGCCGACGUCGGCUGCCUUGACUGAGUUGCUACCUGGACGCUUCCCGACUCUUCACUCGCUUCGACGACGACAAAGAUCCUAUCGUAAGUCUCGAUAAGCUAGAGCAGGGAUCCUUUUCAAUUCAUUUGACUGUUUUAAAUUUUAAACAUUUGUUGUUUACAAUUCUACGAAGGCUUAGAUUGUUUUCAGCAUUGCAAUACUGAAAAAAAUCAUCGAAGAAUUCUUCGUCAACGUAAAUGUUGUUAUGCCAAAAACAGUGCAGGAAGAAUUCAUCCCGUUAACGUUAUUUCGUGUGCCCUGACACGCAGGAUACGAAUUACUUGUAAUCUAAAAUUGAGCGAAGAUGGUGGACAAGAGUUAGCAACGCAGUUAAGCUGCUCACCUCUGGAAGGCGUUGAGCGAAGAUGAAAUCAAAAGUAAAUUGCAGUUGGUUCCGUGUCCUCCACUUCCAAAUCACUCGC
rnacentral:lncRNA from 1 species